AAUCCGACAGGGACUGACACAAACACAGGACUUAAAUACAAAACACGAAACACGAGGCAGGUGACCGCGGUUACAUUGAUUGAGGUGACACAGGAAGGGAGGGGCGACGCGAACAGAAACUAUGGCAACCUAGAC